rnacentral:rRNA from 1 species
AUUGAACGCUGGCGGCAUGCCUUACACAUGCAAGUCGAACGGCAGCACGGGAGCAAUCCUGGUGGCGAGUGGCGAACGGGUGAGUAAUAUAUCGGAACGUGCCCAGUAGUGGGGGAUAGCCCGGCGAAAGCCGGAUUAAUGCCGCAUGAGACCUGAGGGUGAAAGCGGGGGAUCGCAAGACCUCGCGCUAUUGGAGCGGCCGAUAUCAGAUUAGCUAGUUGGUGGGGUAAAGGCCUACCAAGGCAACGAUCUGUAGUUGGUCUGAGAGGACGACCAGCCACACUGGGACUGAGACACGGCCCAGACUCCUACGGGAGGCAGCAGUGGGGAAUUUUUGGACAAUGGGCGCAAGCCUGAUCCAGCAAUGCCGCGUGCAGGAAGAAGGCCUCGGU